GCAGGGUGACCAGAACACAGGAGCCAAUAAUAAAGGUUCCGUUGGAAGAUUUGCAUGGAGGAGUGUGAGAUCCAACAGGUCUCCUUGGGAUGAUAGUCCUUCUAUAGGUGAACUCAGUGGGCAACCAGAGCAAGAUGUGUCAUGGCAUAAACCUUGGUGAGAACAAGUGGACACAGAGGUAAG